rnacentral:rRNA from 1 species
UACGUAGGGUGCAAGCGUUGUCCGGAAUUAUUGGGCGUAAAGAGCUCGUAGGCGGCUUGUCGCGUCGGCUGUGAAAACCUGGGGCUCAACCCCGGGCCUGCAGCCGAUACGGGCAGCUAGAGUUCGGUAGGGGAGACUGGAAUUCCUGGUGUAGCGGUGAAAUGCGCAGAUAUCAGGAGGAACACCGGUGGCGAAGGCGGGUCUCUGGGCCGAAACUGACGCUGAGGAGCGAAAGCGUGGGGAGCGAACAGG